rnacentral:rRNA from 1 species
GACGAACGCUGGCGGCGUGCUUAACACAUGCAAGUCGAGCGGUAAGGCCCUUUCGGGGGUACACGAGCGGCGAACGGGUGAGUAACACGUGGGUGACCUGCCCUCAGCUCUGGGAUAAGCCUGGGAAACCGGGUCUAAUACUGGAUAUGACUCCAUGACGCAUGUUGUGGGGUGGAAAGCCUUGUGCGGCUGAGGAUGGGCCCGCGGCCUAUCAGCUUGUUGGUGGGGUGAGGCCUACCAAGGCGACGACGGGUAGCCGGCCUGAGAGGGCGACCGGCCACACUGGGACUGAGACACGGCCCAGACUCCGUACGGGAGGCAGCAGGUGGGGAAUCUUGCGCAAUGGGACGAAAGCCUGACGCAGCGACGCCGCGUGAGGGAUGACGGCU